rnacentral:tRNA from 1 species
GAGACAUUAGCUCAGUCGGUAGAGCACCUCACUUUUAAUGAGGGGGUCGAUGGUUCGAGUCCAUCAUGUCUCACCA